GAUGAACGCUAGCGAUAGGCUUAACACAUGCAAGUCGAGGGGCAGCGAGGGUAGCAAUACCUGUCGGCGACCGGCGCACGGGUGAGUAACGCGUAUGUAACCUGCCCGCAACAGGGGGAUAACCCGGCGAAAGUCGGACUAAUACCGCAUAAAACAGGGGUCCCGCAUGGGAAUAUUUGUUAAAGAUUUAUCGGUUGCGGAUGGGCAUGCGUACCAUUAGGUAGUUGGUGAGGUAACGGCUCACCAAGCCUUCGAUGGUUAGGGGUUCUGAGAGGAAGGUCCCCCACACUGGUACUGAGACACGGACCAGACUGCUACGGGAGGCAGCAGUGAGGAAUAUUGGUCAAUGGGCGAGAGCCUGAACCAGCCAAGUCGCGUGAAGGAUGACUGCCCUAUGGGUUGUAAACUUCUUUUACAAGGGAAUAAAAUGAGAUACGUGUAUUUUAUUGCAUGUACCUUGGGAAUAAGCAUCGGCUAACUCCGUG
rnacentral:rRNA from 1 species